CUUUGAGCCAGUGAGUUGCUGUUGGGCACCUCCGCAGCUCAAGCGGCGUCGUCCGUCUCUCCUCGCGCUAGACGCUCCUGUGAAAUUUCGUCCCCGAAGCAAGCUCUGUUGGAAGGAGCAGACUCUACUCAUUUCCAAGUGGUAAUCUUGGACUCCCUAUUUCCUCAGGGUAACCACCAGUCACACGUAGCUACUGAGCAUUUGAAAUGUGACUAGUCUGAACUGAGAUCACACACUGUAUUUUGAAGACUUAUGAAAAAAGAAUGUAAAAUAUCUCAAUCAUUUCUGUACUGAUUGCAUGGUAAAUGAUAAUACAUUGGACAUAUUGUUUAAAUAAAAUAUUAUUAAAAUUAGCUUCACUUUUUUUAAAUAUAGCUACUAGAAAAUUUAAAACUACAUAUGUGGUUUGCACUUGUGGCUCACAUUAUAUUUCUAUUAGACAAGGCUUGUCUAGCAUAUUUUACAGACAUUUAUAUUGGCCAAGUCAGCACAGAUUUUACUCAGGUUGAAUUUGACAAAGAGCUCUAAGCUGUAUUAAAUUGAUUCUUGGGGCUGGACCACUGGCAUAGUGGUUAACUUUGCAUGCUCCACUUUGGCAGCCUGGGGUUCGUGGGUUUGGAUGCACAGAUUGGCACAGAUGUUAGCUCAGGGACAAUCUUCCUCAAGCAAAAAAAAAAAAAAAGAUUCUUGGUAAACUUCAGAAAGAGGCCUAUGAUUUCUCCAAGGUCAAGCUCCUACAGUAUGAGGGUCUUUCCCAAUGCCAGGCCGCUGCAGUGUGGGUGGCUUCCCCUGUGCCAGGUUUCUGCCAUGUAUACCAGCCAGAGGCACCUAAUGAGUAAAUGCUUCCCCCAUCGCCCCUUCAGGCAGCUUCACAGCAGAAUGCUAUUGGGCAAGGGACCUCCCCAUGAAUGGCUUCCCAACUGGCAUCCCUCUGCUGGCCUUCCAGCAAAUCCAAAAGCACGACACUCCAGGAUUCAGUGAGCUAUGCUGCUGCACCUUCUCUGGCAUCUGGAUCUCAGCUCCAGGCAUGGGGAGGCCUCUUUGGGUGCUCUAUCUCAGCUCUAGUGUUAGCGGCUGCUCCUUAUUUCUGCUCUUCUUAUAUUCUAGAACUCUCUUUAACUUUUACUAGCCAAUCCCUCUUUACCCUAAUCUCUUACAUUAAACUUUUCCUGUUCAAGUUACUGGGUGGUUUCUGUCUCCUCAAUGAACCCUGACUAAUAUACCAACUAUUUUUAUUGGAUGUUUUUAUUCUCUACAUGUUAUUUUUGGUAUUUAUGUAAUGAAUUACCAUGUUGCAGUCCAAUAACUGAAGCUUUCUUAUUUUGCAAAGACUAACUGCCUGUCUAUGCUUGCAUCUACACGGAUUUUAGCACUGGUCUAAACUUAAGACAUUAAAAAACACCAGAAGGCAGAAUGUGAUACUGUCUUUAAAUCUGCCUCGAGUUUAUCUAUUGAAACUUUUAAGAGUUGUCUCUUUGAUGAAUAUGAAACUUAUUCAAAAUUUUAAACUGUUCACAAAUGUAAAACCAUUGAGGAUUUCACUCCAUAAUGUAUUCUCUCAUAGGGCUUUUUGUGGGGGAGGGAUCAGGAAAGGACAAAUUUGCCCUGAUCAGAUGAUUGGAAAACGGCUUGCCUUAACCUUUUAAACAAGUUAAUCCAAUGCUAAAAUUCUGUGUGUGAAUAGUAUCUUAGACCUCUGUCCUUCAUGAUGUAUGAUUAGCACUGUGGUUCCACACCGAGGCCGUAGAUGAGUAAGGAUUCUAUUUAAUGAAGGCAGAUUUACCGCAAAAGUAUUCUCACAUUGUAUACUAUCUUUAUUAAAGGAAUGCAUUCCAACAACACUCACCAUUGUCAGACUCUAUUACCAGAGAAAGAAAAUGUAUACCUUUAACAAAUCAUCUCUCUGUGCCUUAGUUUUCUCCUUUCCAAAGUAAAGGAGUUGUGUUACACCAUCUCCCGUCUCUUGCAACUCUAAAAGCACUGUGCUGUGCUGCGCUACCUCACAGGGCUCCGUCCCCAGGUUUCUCUCCCUGGAGCCAUCCCUAAUUGGACAGUUCUUCCCUCUGAGGCUUCCUGCUUCCUGUCUCUCUCCUCCCUUGGGGAGCUGCUUCUCCUCUGAGGACUGCUCCCGUUACACAUGAACCACGGACAGUUUCUGCCCUGACCACCACACUUUCUCCACUCCGAGGUUGC